UACGUAGGGUGCAAGCGUUAAUCGGAAUUACUGGGCGUAAAGCGUGCGCAGGCGGUUUGUUAAGCCAGAUGUGAAAGCCCCGGGCUCAACCUGGGAACUGCGUUUGGGACUGGCAAGCUAGAGUACGGCAGAGGGGGGUGGAAUUCCACGUGUAGCAGUGAAAUGCGUAGAUAUGUGGAGGAACACCGAUGGCGAAGGCAGCCCCCUGGGCCGAUACUGACGCUCAGGCACGAAAGCGUGGGGAGCAAACAGG
rnacentral:rRNA from 1 species